AUCCAUCGUUUAGGUAAAAUUACCUCUCAGAAAUAAUGCUAAUUCUAUUUUUUUUUUGUUUCCUGUUUCUAAAAAUCUCUUGGUCAUCUUUGAGGCUUGAGGAAAGUAGCAAACUGGAGAUUUACAGAAAUAUGCAGCUCUUUACAAAAUGUAACCGUCAGUUUACCCGGUGGGUUUAUGUUUUUAGGAUUUGUGAUCUGUUUCCGGUAGAAAAUGAGGGAGAAUUAUAGUGAGAAUUGGACAUUGUAGAGCCUCAUUCCCAAAGGUAUGGGAGGUCUAAUAUAUAGAGAUGCAAUGCAAAUAUUCCUUCUUUUUAUGUUGUUAUUGUUUCAGUUAUGUAGUGAUAAAUGGAAACCCUGAAGCUUAUCCUAAGAUAAGUGUAUCUUAUAAUGAGUUUAAAUAGCAAGUGAAAAUACUAAAUUCAUUGUGAUGUGAAUAGAGCUUGGCCUUCCUCUUUAACUGUUGAAGGUAUUAAAACAAAAUGGAAAACAUUUGGCUUCCUGAAUGACAUGGCUGCAGUCAACAUGCUGAGCUGGUGAUGAAGCAUGAACCCUUGAUUUUGCAACACCAGAGCAAAGCACCAGAUUGUAAACAUGGCUGUGUGGAUCCAGGCCCAGCAGCUGCAAGGAGAUGCCCUUCAUCAGAUGCAAGCCUUGUAUGGCCAGCAUUUCCCCAUCGAGGUGCGCCAUUACUUAUCCCAGUGGAUCGAAAGCCAACCUUGGAGAACAUUAAGGCCACCCAGCUCCUGGAGGGCCUGGUGCAGGAGCUGCAGAAGAAGGCGGAGCACCAGGUGGGGGAAGAUGGGUUCUUGCUGAAGAUCAAGCUGGGGCACUACGCCACGCAGCUGCAGAACACGUAUGACCGCUGCCCCAUGGAGCUGGUCCGCUGCAUCCGGCACAUUCUGUACAAUGAGCAGAGGCUGGUCCGAGAAGCCAACAAUGGUGCCUCUCCAGCCGGGAGUCUUGCCGACAUCAUGUCCCAGAAACACCUUCAGAUCAACCAGACCUUUGAGGAGCUGCGGCUGGUCACGCAGGACACCGAGAACGAGCUGAAGAAGCUGCAGCAGACUCAGGAGUACUUCAUCAUCCAGUACCAGGAGAGCCUGAGGAUCCAGGCUCAGUUUGCCCAGCUGGCCCAGCUGAACCCGCAGGAGCGUCUGAGCCGGGAGUCAGCCCUGCAGCAGAAGCAGGUGUCCCUGGAGGCCUGGCUGCAGAGAGAGGCCCAGACGCUGCAGCAAUACCGCGUGGAGCUGGCCGAGAAGCACCAGAAGACCCUGCAGCUGCUGCGCAAGCAGCAGACCAUCAUCCUGGAUGACGAGCUGAUCCAGUGGAAGCGGCGACAGCAGCUGGCCGGGAAUGGGGGGCCCCCUGAGGGCAGCCUGGACGUGCUGCAGUCCUGGUGUGAGAAGUUGGCCGAGAUCAUCUGGCAGAACCGGCAGCAGAUCCGCAGAGCUGAGCACCUCUGCCAGCAGCUGCCCAUCCCCGGCCCCGUGGAGGAGAUGCUGGCCGAGGUCAAUGCCACCAUCACAGACAUCAUCUCCGCCCUGGUGACCAGCACGUUCAUCAUUGAGAAGCAGCCCCCUCAGGUCCUGAAGACCCAGACCAAGUUUGCAGCCACCGUGCGCCUGCUGGUGGGGGGGAAGCUGAACGUGCACAUGAACCCCCCCCAGGUGAAGGCCACCAUCAUCAGCGAGCAGCAGGCCAAGUCGCUGCUCAAGAACGAGAACACCCGCAAUGAGUACAGCGGGGAGAUCUUGAACAACUGCUGUGUGAUGGAGUAUCACCAGGCCACAGGCACGCUCAGCGCCCACUUCAGGAACAUGUCCCUGAAACGCAUCAAGAGGUCUGACCGUCGUGGGGCAGAGUCAGUGACCGAAGAAAAAUUCACAAUCCUGUUUGAAUCACAGUUCAGUGUUGGUGGAAAUGAGCUGGUCUUUCAAGUCAAGACCCUGUCCCUCCCGGUGGUGGUGAUUGUCCACGGCAGCCAGGACAACAACGCGACGGCCACGGUUCUCUGGGACAAUGCUUUUGCGGAAUCUGGCAGGGUGCCCUUUGCCGUGCCUGACAAAGUGCUGUGGCCGCAGCUGUGUGAAGCGCUCAACAUGAAAUUCAAGGCCGAAGUGCAGAGCAACCGGGGCCUGACCAAGGAGAACCUCGUGUUCCUGGCGCAGAAGCUGUUCAACAGCAGCAGCAGCCACCUCGAGGACUACAACAGCAUGUCCGUGUCCUGGUCCCAGUUCAACAGGGAGAAUUUACCAGGACGGAACUACACUUUCUGGCAGUGGUUUGAUGGGGUGAUGGAAGUGUUAAAGAAACAUCUCAAGCCUCAUUGGAAUGACGGGGCUAUUUUGGGUUUCGUGAAUAAGCAACAGGCCCACGAUCUACUCAUUAACAAGCCCGAUGGGACCUUCCUGCUGAGAUUCAGCGACUCUGAAAUCGGCGGGAUCACCAUCGCUUGGAAGUUUGAUUCUCAGGAAAGAAUGUUUUGGAAUCUGAUGCCUUUUACCACCAGAGACUUCUCCAUUCGGUCCCUGGCCGACCGCCUGGGGGACCUGGAUUACCUUAUCUACGUGUUCCCCGAUCGGCCGAAAGAUGAAGUAUACUCCAAAUAUUACACACCAGUUCCAUGCGAGCCUGCCACUGCUAAAGCCGUGGACGGAUACGUGAAGCCACAGAUCAAGCAAGUGGUCCCUGAGUUUGUGACGUCUGCAGACUCUGCUGGGGGCAGUGCCACCUACAUGGACCAGGCCCCCUCCCCGGCUGUGUGUCCCCAGGCUCAUUACAACAUGUACCCACAGAACCCUGACCCCGCCCUUGACCCCGACGGGGACUUCGAUCUGGACGACACGAUGGACGUGGCGCGCCGCGUGGAGGAACUCUUGGGCCGACCUAUGGACACUCAGUGGAUCCCUCAUGCGCAGUCGUGACCUCCGUCAGCUUCUUGGUCCUCGCGAGAGGAGUUCCUCUUGUGGAUGUUUUAAUUCCAUGAAUCGCUUCUCUUUGGAAACAAUACUCAUAAUGUGAAGUGUUAAUGCUAGUUGUGACUUUAGUGUUUCUGUGCAUGGUGACCCCAGUGCAGGGAGCGUGUGUGUGUGUGUGUGUGUGUGUGUGUGUGUGUGAGUGUGAGUUUGUCCGUGUGGUGUUCCUCCCCCUUGCUGUCCAGACAGAGGCCGUGGUGGUUUGAACCUUGUGCACAAAGGCAGUUGGCUCCACGAGCCCUGGCACAUGGCCGUGUGUCUUGAGGGUGGCUGGACUUUGACGUGUGGCUGUUCAAGUAAGAGAAGGACGCAGGGAGGAGAAAGCACCUCCUCUCUGUCCCUCUGUGUGCACACACGUGCAGAUGAACUAGAGGGCAGAAGAGAGGGUCACGCCACCGGAGCUUACAGUGUCGGUGUCCUUUGUGUCGCGGCCAGAGUGGAAUGCCCAGCCCUGACCCGCAGGCGCCGAGAACGUCGCCUCGUCGCCCAGGGAAGCUGCCGUCCCAUCUGCCCGUGCUUCCUCCGCGCUGGGAGGCCGACCGAUGCCAGCUCUUCGCAAAUGUCGGACGGUGUUUUUGCUUCUAACUUGGGACUUCUUGUUUUCCCCUCCCCACCCUCAUCUGACAGCGAAGUUCUCUCUUCCUGUGUCAGGUCCUGUGCCAUUCCUACCCAGGUCACCUCAUUUCCCUUCACUGAUCGUGCGCGAUGUCUCGGGGAGCGGGUGGCAGGAGUGCGGUCCGAACCCGGGGCCAGCAUGUCCAGCAGGUGUUGCCCACCUGGUGCAGGGUGCUGGGUGUCAGGCUUUGGGGGUUUGGGGAAAUGCAGUCAGCAGGUUUGCGGGAAGUUUGGUAAGCUGCAGAAACAAAAAGCCUCAAGCAUAAUUCCGUCUGUAGUUUCUUCCAUGGCUCCACGCCAGAGGAAGGGAUGGGCUGUGGCAGGCAGGUGGGAAGAGAGGGGAGCAGGUAUAGUUUUCAGGUUAGGCCUAUAAGGUCGCCCCCAGCCCCCUCUCCGAAAGGAUAUGACUAGGCCCAAGAAAUAAUGGCCCUAAAAACCGUAUUUUUAUAUGUGUGAGUAAAUAAACAUAUUUUUUUUACAAAAACUAA